AAAAACAUCCCAGCCCAACAACAACAAAAAGUACAAACAGAUUUUCUGUCUUAAAUUCACUAGACCAUCUUUCAACAGACCUUGACUGUCAGAUUUAGCAGGUUCAUCUGAUAAAUUAGGCCAAGAGGAUUUUGUCUCCUGUGAAAGGAAUCUGCCUCGUGGACAGCAUCCCGCAGCCAGGAACAAGGGUGCAGGUGGCUGCCGGGCAGGGGAACAGAGGAGGCACACUAAAAGGCCUUCCUUCCUCACUCGGCACCUUUCCCACCUCCAUCCUGCAACCUAUGUGUUCUGUUCUAUUGAGCCCUGUCAGUGUCAUUUCCCAGUGUCUGAGGCUCAUCGCUGUGGCUGGACACACGUUCUUUGACAGGACUCAGCCAGUCGAAGUACAGAUACUCAUUUCAACAUGCGUACUGCCAGUGUUGACAGAGCCCCAGACUGUUUUGUGAUGGUGUUAAUUUUCCAGUUAAGAAGCAUCAUGCACAGAAAAACCUCUCUUUGCUGUAAUUUGUGAUGGAUCACAGAAUGCAGAGACAAUUCUGGCCAUGACAGAGCUUGGGUAGAGGUGACUUUACCAAGGAUUUGCAAGUCCCCUGCCUAGGCUGACUCAGGAGCUCAGAUGUUCUUCCCUGGGAACUACCCAGCAUAGCCAUAGGCAGUCCCCAGAUCAGAGCCAAAGCAUUCCUCAUCGCAAAAGCAGGAAGUAGUAUUCUGCAACUUGGAAGAAGGCUGAUACAAUGAGGACUGAAAAAUUAGGGGAGAGCAGAACUCUCUAGAUCCUCUGCCAACUGCUGGAUUGAAUGAGCUUGGUGUCGAGGUGGGAAAAUGCUAAAAACACAAGUGGCUGCAGCUGGUCUCCAUAGAGAUCUUGGAGGAGCUUUGCUGCUGGUUCAGAAGAGAGCCUGGGAAAGGGAUGGGCUGACGGAAUCACAAACCCUCAAGCCCUAAUGUGCCUCUGUUUUUGUGGCGGAGCCCAGGUGGUUACAUCUUGCGGGGUUGGUCUGUUUCGUAUCUUUCUUACACAGAGGAUCACAUUCUUCCUCCUGCUCAAAUGACAAAGCUGAGCCCCCUUUGCUCUGGUGACAGGAUCCAGAGCAGUGACCAAAGAUGCAGAGCUGAGAGCGGAGACACAGGCUUGUCUCUCCAGGAGACACUGUGAUCUGGGGAAAGUCAGUUAAGCCCACAUACCAAGUGGACUCUAUUGCCAGGUCAAAGUGACAGUUCUUGCAGAUAGAACCCGGCCACAGAUUCUGUAACGCUUACUCUCUCCAGCAUUUCAUUUGCCUCAUAACCCAGUAGAGAGAAAUGUGGGAAAGACAUGUGUCAGGCUUGCGAUUCACAUGAGUCUCCUGGGACAUUAGCAAACAGAAUGCAGAAAGUGGUGUUGGUGGCUCUUCCUUAGGAAAGAGUUAGUGAUUCAGGGCAAAGCAGAACGUUUCUUUUUUCCUGUUUGUUCUAUUUAAUGCGGCCAGCCCAUGAUGAUUCCAGCUGAGAGACUGGAUGAGAAAGCAUGCCGAAUCAGGCGGGAAGGAAAGCGGCUGUGAUUGAGUCAUCUAUCACAGGGACGACCCUCUGUCAAAGCUGGCAUCCUGCCUGCCUCUGUCAGGGAAGCCGACAGGGUGCAUAGAAGGGCCAGCUGGGUGUUCACUUCUGAAAGCUUCGAGUCCUUUCUGGAGACCUCAUGGUGUUCUGUCUAAGCCCUUGUUCCUCUACUUUUCCUUGGGUCAGCAUUUGGAUCUCACAGAGAAACAAAUCAUCAGUGUCUUAUUUCCUGUCUAUUUUAUCGUCUCCCCUUUUAACUUAAAUGAACAAGUUCAGUGAAGAGCCUGUCCCCAGCACUCCCCACCAACCUGCUCACUCACCUUAGAACACUAGCAGCAAUGCUGACCAGCUGCUGCUGGACUCACCAUUACAAAUAAUAAAGCAUAAGGCUCUGCUCCCUGACACAGAUUUCCAGGCCUGAAACUUUGUGAACAGAAAGCUGCUGCAUACCAGACUGGGGUUUUCCCCUCCCAGUUCCAUAGCUGUGUGUUCCUAAUGAUGCUCUGGGUAGAUAAAUGCCCUGUGAUCGAGAAGAGGCCAGUCCGGUGAUAAGGCUAAUAUCUAGCAUGCUGGGAGGAACGUUUAGUCACUCCUUGGUAGGCUCUCCUUUCACCUGCUGUUCUAUUUUACAGUCCACUUGCAUCCUAUUGCAAUCAAUAGACACAUCAGCACGUUCUGCUGC
rnacentral:lncRNA from 1 species